rnacentral:misc_RNA from 1 species
GAUGAAGAACGUAGCGAAAUGCGAUAAGUAGUGUGAAUUGCAGAAUUCAGUGAAUCAUCGAAUCUUUGAACGCACAUUGCGCCCGCUGGUAUUCCGGCGGGCAUGCCUGUUCGAGCGUCAUUUCAACCCUCAAGCCCCCGGGUUUGGUGUUGGGGAUCGGCUCUGCCCUUCUGGGCGGUGCCGCCCCCGAAAUAUAUUGGCGGUCUCGCUGCAGCCUCCAUUGCGUAGUAGCUAACACCUCGCAACUGGAACGCGGCGCGGCCAUGCCGUAAAACCCCAACUUCUGAAUGUUGACCUCGGAUCAGGUAGGAAUACCCGCUGAACUUAAGCAUAUCAAUAAGCGGAGGA